AGGCUGAAACACCGGUUUCCGUACGAUCACCGAAGGUAAGCAACAUAGAGCCUCUACAGUAUCUAGAUGGGUAAACUCUUGUGAAUAUCAGGCACUGUAAG